rnacentral:rRNA from 2 species
GGCGAGUGANCGGCAACAGCUCAAAUUUGAAAGCUAGCCUUCGGGUUCGCAUUGUAAUUUGUAGAGGAUGAUUUGGGGAAGCCGCCUGUCUAAGUUCCUUGGAACAGGACGUCAUAGAGGGUGAGAAUCCCGUAUGUGACAGGAAAUGGCACCCUAUGUAAAUCUCCUUCGACGAGUCGAGUUGUUUGGGAAUGCAGCUCUAAAUGGGAGGUAAAUUUCUUCUAAAGCUAAAUAUUGGCGAGAGACCGAUAGCGCACAAGUAGAGUGAUCGAAAGAUGAAAAGCACUUUGGAAAGAGAGUUAAAAAGCACGUGAAAUUGUUGAAAGGGAAGCGCUUGCAAUCAGACUUGUUUAAACUGUUCGGCCGGUCUUCUGACCGGUUUACUCAGUUUGGACAGGCCAGCAUCAGUUUCGGCGGCCGGAUAAAGGCUCUGGGAAUGUGGCCUCCACUUCGGUGGAGGUGUUAUAGCCCAGGGUGUAAUACGGCCAGCCGGGACUGAGGUCCGCGCUUCGGCUAGGAUGCUGGCGUAAUGGUUGUAAGCGACCCGUCUUGAAACACG